UACGUAGGUGACAAGCGUUGUCCGGAUUUACUGGGCGUAAAGAGCGCGCAGGCGGCCGAUCAAGUCGAGUGUGAAAGCCCCCGGCUCAACUGGGGAGGGUCAUUCGAUACUGAUCGACUCGAAGGCAGGAGAGGGUAGUGGAAUUCCCGGUGUAGUGGUGAAAUGCGUAGAUAUCGGGAGGAACACCAGUGGCGAAGGCGACUACCUGGCCUGUUCUUGACGCUGAGGCGCGAAAGCUAGGGGAGCAAACGGG
rnacentral:rRNA from 1 species